UACAGAGGUCUCAAGCGUUGUUCGGAUUCAUUGGGCGUAAAGGGUGCGUAGGCGGCGCGGUAAGUCGGGUGUGAAAUCUCGGAGCUUAACUCCGAAACUGCAUUCGAUACUGCCGUGCUUGAGGACUGGAGAGGAGACUGGAAUUUACGGUGUAGCAGUGAAAUGCGUAGAUAUCGUAAGGAAGACCAGUGGCGAAGGCGAGUCUCUGGACAGUUACUGACACUGAGGCACGAAGGCCAGGGGAGCAAACGGG
rnacentral:rRNA from 1 species